rnacentral:tRNA from 2 species
UGCCGGGUCGGCUAAUGGUAGGCCUAUGGACUCUGGAUCCAUCAAUCUUGGUUCGAAUCCAAGCCCGGCAGCCA